rnacentral:rRNA from 1 species
GACGAACGCUGGCGGCGUGCUUAACACAUGCAAGUCGAGCGGUAAGGCGCCUUCGGUAGUACUCGAGCGGCGAACGGGGGAGUAACACGUGAGUAAUCUUCCCUUCACUUCGGGAUAACCACCGGAAACGGUGGCUAAUACCGAAUACGACCAGUCUUUGCAAGAGGUGGUGGUGGAAAUUCUUUUCGGUGAUGCAUGUGCUCGCUGCCUAUCAGCUUGUUGGUUGGGUAAUGGCCAAGCAAGGCGUCGACGGAUAGCCGGCCUGAGAGGGUGACCGGACACACUGGGACUGCGAACCGGCACAGACUCCAACGGGAGGCAGUAGUGGGGAAUAUUGGAAAGUGGGCCAGAGCCUGAUCCAGCAACGCCGCAUGAGGGAUGGCGCCUUUCGGGUUGUAAACCUCUUACAGUACCGACGAAGGGCACUGUCGGGUGGUGACGGUAGGUACAGAAGAAGGACCGGCCAACUACGUG